rnacentral:lncRNA from 1 species
UUUAAUCUUAAAAAUUAAAAGAAGACAAAACCCAAAAUUUUACUAAAAGCAUGCAUGUAAGGGUAAAGGGACUAUUAUCAAACCAUGCAAGCUACUUUUCUAUUGUGAAUUUAUUCCAAAAGUUUUUAUAUAUAUAAUGACUCUGCAAGUGGAAAAACCAGAAACAUGAAUCAUCCUAUUAACACAUUGAACACCACAAAAACAUUAUUUGGUAGAAUUAACAUCUCAUCAACAACAACAUAAAAUCUAAUCAAGAACAUGAAAAUCUCAUGAUUCUUUUAACAGAAACAUUAUUUUUGUCAACAACAACAUGAAAUCAAAAUCUACAACAACAAUUGAAACCGAAAUUGAAAUCAGGACCAAGUGAAACUAAAAUUGAAAUCAACAACAAAAAUUGAAAUCAACAACAAAAAUUGAAAUUGAAAUCAACAACAACAAUCGAAAUCGAAACUGAAAUCAACAACAACUGAAACUAAAAUCGAAAUCAACAAUAAAAACUGAAAUUGAAAUCAAUAACAACAAUCGAAAUCGAAACUGAAACCAACAACAACAUAUCUUAGAUCCAACCGUCCUUCAAAAAAGUAGAAACUUUACACGAGUGUGAAAAUGUACGGCAACAUCAUUAAUUCUUCCUCAUGGUUGGUUGGUUAAGCAACACCCUCCGUUGUAGCACUUCCCCAUGAUAUAUUGAUCGAUGUAUAGAUU